GAAGAAAGCGGGCGGCGUGCUUAACACAUGCAAGUCGAACGGAAAGGCCCUGCUUUUGUGGGGUGCUCGAGUGGCGAACGGGUGAGUAACACGUGAGUAACCUGCCCUUGACUUUGGGAUAACUUCAGGAAACUGGGGCUAAUACCGGAUAGGAGCUCCUGCUGCAUGGUGGGGGUUGGAAAGUUUCGGCGGUUGGGGAUGGACUCGCGGCUUAUCAGCUUGUUGGUGGGGUAGUGGCUUACCAAGGCUUUGACGGGUAGCCGGCCUGAGAGGGUGACCGGCCACAUUGGGACUGAGAUACGGCCCAGACUCCUACGGGAGGCAGCAGUGGGGAAUAUUGCACAAUGGGCGGAAGCCUGAUGCAGCAACGCCGCGUGCGGGAUGACGGCCUUCGGGUUGUAAACCGCUUUCGCCUGUGACGAAGCGUGAGCGACGGUAAUGGGUAAAGAAGCACCGGCUAACUACGCG
rnacentral:rRNA from 1 species